AGAGAAGACAAAGAGAGCACACAAGCUGAACAUACCCACAGGAGAGCCCCAGCGUUACUUCACUGAAGCAGAGGGCUGCCUUUGAGUGACGUCACGAGUUAGAGCAGCAAGCUGCACAGGGGAAGGGAGGCUGGUGUGCUGCUCUGGUUGGUGAAGACCAGCCUCUUUGCCCAGAUCUUCCUGAACUUGAUCUUUCUGAACUAGAUGUGAACGACUUGGAUACAGACAGCUUUCUGGGUGGACUCAAGUGGUGCAGUGACCAAUCAGAAAUAAUAUCCAAUCAGUACAACAAUGAGCCUUCAAACAUAUUUGAGAAGAUAGAUGAAGAGAAUGAGGCAAACUUGCUAGCAGUCCUCACA
rnacentral:lncRNA from 1 species